rnacentral:rRNA from 1 species
GUUAUCCGGAUUUACUGGGCGUAAAGAGCGUUGAGGCGGUUCCGUAAGUUGGGCGUGAAAGCCCCGGGCUUAACCCGGGGAGGUCGUUCAAUACUGCGGGACUUGAGGGCAGCAGAGGGAGGCGGAAUUCCCGGUGUAGCGGUGAAAUGCGUAGAUAUCGGCGAGCGAACACCAGUGGCGAAGGCGGCCUCCUGGGCUGUUUCUGACGCUGAAGGCGAAAGCUAGGGGAGCGAACGGGAUUAGAAACCCCGGUAGUCCUAGCCGUAAACGAUGGAUGCUGGGUUUGGGGGGUAUAGAUCCCCUCCGUGCCGAAGCUAACGCGUUAAGCAUCCCGCCUGGGGAUUACGGCCGCAAGGCUUAAACUCAAACGAAUUGACGGGGGCCCGCACAAGCAGCGGAGCGUGUGGUUUAAUUCGAUGCUACACGAAGAACCUUACCUGGGCUUGACAUGUAGGUAGUAGUGAAGCGAAAGCGGAACGACCCUUCGGGGAGCCUACACAGGUGCUGCAUGGCUGUCGUCAGUUCGUGCCGUGAGGUGUCGGGUUAAGUCCCGUAACGAACGCAACCCUUGCCCUUAGUUACAUGUGUCUAAGGGGACUGCCCGGGACAACUGGGAGGAAGGUGGGGAUGACGUCAAGUCAGCAUGGCCUUUAUGUCCAGGGCUACACACACGCUACAAUGGCCGGUACAAUGGGUCGCCAAGCCGUGAGGCGGAGCCAAUCCCCCAAAGCCGGUCUAAGUUCGGAUUGUGGGCUGCAACUCGCCCAUAUGAAGCUGGAGUUGCUAGUAACCGCGCGUCAGCAAUAGU